rnacentral:rRNA from 1 species
AUUGAACUCUGGCGGCAGGCCUAACACAUUCAAGUCUAACUAGUGGCGGACGGGUGAGUAAUUUCUGGGAAACUGCCUGAUGGAGGGGGAUAACUACUGGAUACGGUAGCUAAUACCGCCUAUCAUCAGAUUUGCCCAGAUGGGAUUAGCUUGUUGGUGGGGUAACGGCUCACUAAGGCGACGAUCCCGAGCUGGGCUGAGAGGAUGACCAGCAACACUGGAACUGAGACACGGUCCAGACACCUACGGGAGGCAGCAGUGGGGAAUAUUGCACAAUGGGCGCAAGCCUGAUGCAGCCAUGCCUCGUGUAUGAAGAAGGCCUUCGGGUUGUAAAGUACUUUCAGCGGGGAGGCGUUAACCGCAGAAGAAGCACCGGCUAACUCCGUGCCAGCAGCCGCGGUAAUAC